rnacentral:rRNA from 1 species
CCUACGGGUGGCAGCAGUGGGGAAUAUUGCACAAUGGGGGAAACCCUGAUGCAGCGACGCCGCGUGAGUGAAGAAGUCAUUCGUUUUGUAAAGCUCUAUUACCAGGGAAGAAAGUGACCGUCCCUGAGUGAGAAGUAACUGCUAACUACGUGCCAGAAGUCGCGGUAAGACGUAGGGGGCAAGCGUUAUGCGGACUUACGGGGUGUAAAGGGGUCGUAGCCGGUAGUGCAAGUCUGGAGUGAAAGGCGUGGGCUCAACCCACGGACUGCUCUGGAAACUGGACGGCUGGAGAGCAGGAGAGGGUAGUGGAAUUCCUAGUGUAGCGGUGAAAUGCGUAGAUAUAAGGAGGAACACCAGUGGCGAAGGCGGCUGACUGGACAGUAACUGACGUUGAGGCUCGAAAGCGUGGGGAGCAAAUAGGAUUAGAUACCCCAGUAGUC